AAGGAGUUUAUCGUGUGCGCAAGUUUUUGGGUGUUAAAAACUUAAAAGCGAAAUGAAAGUAAAUGACUCUUUAGAGUCUGAUGUGCGAUCUUGUAAAAAAGUGUAGCAUGGCCCCAUUCUAACUGUUUACAGUAGGGUGGCGGAAGAGCGUACGCGGUGAGACCCGAAAGAUGGUGAACUAUUCCUGAGCAGGACGAAGCCAGAGGAAACUCUGGGGGAAGUCCGAAGCGGUUCUGACGUGCAAAUCGAUCGUCU
rnacentral:rRNA from 1 species